GGGGGCGUGGUAUAAUGGUAUUACAACGGUCUCCAAAACCGUUAACGGGGGUCCGAUUCCCUCCGCCCCUGCUA
rnacentral:tRNA from 2 species